rnacentral:lncRNA from 1 species
AGCGGCCGCGGACCCCAACGCCGCGUGGGCCGCCUACUACUCACACUACUACCAGCAGCCCCCGGGCCCCGUCCCCGGCCCCGCACCGGCCCCUGCGGCCCCACCGGCUCAGGGUGAGCCCCCUCAGCCCCCACCCACCGGCCAGUCGGACUACACUAAGGCCUGGGAAGAGUAUUACAAAAAGAUCGGUGAGUCUGCAGGGUGGCGGGGGGGCUCCAGCCCUGCCGGGGGAGUGGUUUCUGACCUGUCUCGGCGCCCGCACAGGCCAGCAGCCCCAGCAGCCCGGAGCACCCCCACAGCAGGACUACACGAAGGCUUGGGAGGAGUACUACAAGAAGCAAGCGCAAGUGGCCACCGGAGGGGGUCCAGGAGCUCCCCCAGGCUCCCAGCCAGACUACAGUGCCGCCUGGGCGGAAUAUUACAGACAG